rnacentral:rRNA from 1 species
CCCGCUGAACUUAAGCAUAUCAAUAAGCGGAGGAAAAGAAACCAACAGGGAUUGCCUUAGUAACGGCGAGUGAAGCGGCAAUAGCUCAAAUUUGAAAUCUGGCUCUUUAACAAGGGUUCCGAAUUGUAAUUUGUAGAGGAUGCUUCUGCUUUGGAGUCAAUUAAAGUUCCUUGGAACAGGACGUCAUAGAGGGUGAGAAUCCCGUUUGUGAUUGAAAAUCCUUUGCUAUGUGAAGCUCCUUCGACGAGUCGAGUUGUUUGGGAAUGCAGCUCUAAAUGGGUGGUAAAUUUCAUCUAAAGCUAAAUAUUGGCGAGAGACCGAUAGCGAACAAGUACCGUGAGGGAAAGAUGAAAAGCACUUUGGAAAGAGAGUUAAACAGUACGUGAAAUUGUUGAAAGGGAAACGUUUGAAGUCAGUCGCGUCGGCCGAGACUCAACCUUGCGCUCGCGCUCGGUGCACUUCUCGGUUGACGGGUCAGCAUCAAUUUCGACCGCCGGACAAAGGUUGGGGGAAUGUGGCAUCCUUCGGGAUGUGUUAUAGCCCUCGAUUCACAUACGGCGAUUGGGAUUGAGGAACCCGGCGCCUCGCGCGUCCAGGAUGCUGGCAUAAUGGCUUUAAGCGACCCGUCUUGAAACACGG